UACGUAGGGUGCAAGCGUUGUCCGGAAUCAUUGGGCGUAAAGCGCGUGUAGGCGGCUUGGCAAGUCGGUUGUGAAAGCCCGGGGCCCAACCCCGGAACUGCAUCCGAAACUGCCUGGCUAGAGUCCCGGAGAGGAAGGCAGAAUUCCCGGUGUAGGGGUGAAAUCCGUAGAUAUCGGGAGGAAUACCAGCGGCGAAGGCGGCCUUCUGGACGGUGACUGACGCUGAGACGCGAAAGCGUGGGGAGCAAACAGG
rnacentral:rRNA from 1 species